rnacentral:lncRNA from 1 species
CUGUCGGGAAGGAGGGGUGUGGCCUAGACCACUAAGGGCCGUGACGUGGUGCCGCUGAGCUUGGACCCCGACCAGAAGAUAGAGAUUGAAACGAUGAGGAAAACGAAGUGCCUAAUCCCCGCUGGACGCUAACUGCAGGGCAAGCUCCCCAGUGUUGUAGUUGUGUUUCGGAGGCCGAGAACCGCUAUCGGGCUUCCUCGGACUCUGGCCCUGGAGGGGGGAAACGGCGAGGGAGAAGGCGAAACGAGUCUCCAGUGUGUUCUUGGGGCCUGGUGCGAGGCCCAGAGAAUUCUCUGCAGGCCUUUGCCCGGGCACUGAUUAAGGCUGCGAAGAGACGCACCGGGCUGCGGGCUUAGUAGCUUCAGGCUUCUGAAGUCAGAGGGAGGGCUGAGAGCUUACACUUCUGGAGCUCCCCGGGAGACGGCAACUACCCAACCGUGUGGGUGUGUUUGUGUAUGUGUCUUUUGUUGAGCUUCGGCUGGCUGUGUUAUUCAUUCAACAAAUAUUUAUCGAUCUUCGGCAGUGUGUCAGACAUACCUUCUUCUCAAAUCUUCACAUCAAACCUGAAUUAUCUCCAUUUAAUGAUGAGGAAACUCGGGCUCAAAGAAGUUAAGUGUUCUAGCCAAGACUGCAUAGAACAUGGAGGAGACAUAUUUCCACCUAUUUCUCUCCAUAAGUAUAAAAGACCAUAAAAGACCAUCUAGGGACUUCAGAACCCAAAUAAUGACACAAUGUUAAUUUGCAGGUUCUCCCUCUGCCUGCCACCCCACCCAGCAAGGAGGAGAGGAAGUGUUGAGAAGGGAAGAGAUGAGUCCUGGCCCUGUCACUUCUUAGGGGUGUGCUUUUGAACAACCUGCUCACCAUGUAUGAACUUCACUCUUCUUGUUUAUAAAAUGAGGACAAUGACACCUGCAAGACUGUGAGGUUUAAAAACAAAAUCUGUGUUGAGAGGUAACUUGCCUCUUUUACUUACCAAUGAUUUCCUCAAUGCCUGGUGACUGGGGCUGGUUCAUACUAGACGAUCAAUAAAUGCUCCUUGAAUGAAUAGGUGGAUGAAAGAAAUGUCUGGCAUCUAUCACAGGUGCUGGCACUGAUAAGUGCUUGAUAAAUAGGCUGGCUGACUGUGAGUGAUGCUGACGGGCAAAGGACAGAGACACCAGGAAGGAGAACAGGACACGAAAGAUAACUGUCUCAGCCCUUGGGGAGUUUCUGACCCAGGAGGAUGGGAACAUCAAUUAUCAAUAGUUACAGAUCAUUAAAUAAUUGCAAGUGUGAGGCGCACUAUAAAGAGGAGGCUCAGAGUCCCCGCAUGCUCACACUCACACCUGGCCACAGACAGGUGACACCCCUGGCUUGCCCAGGCCAGCGGGUCUGCAAUGAGGCCAAGGACCUGGGCUCUUGAGAAGUUUUAAGUUUGAAAACAUUGCUUUUUAAGCUUAAAACAAUGAACCUUAAUAAAAGUAAACACUUCCAUUGAGCUUUGAAACACUUAAUAGGAGUUAAAAGUAAUUAGGCUAAUAAAAUAGUCUUUUGUUCCAAUUCAAUAAGUGCUUUCUUUUAUUAACUUCAUUGUCCUUUAAGAUUGGGAUUAAGGUUUGUCUGCAUUUGGAAAAGGUCACAUUUGCCCAAAGACUGAUGGGUGAUAACAGUAAGGCAGCCCCCUGCACAGGGAGAGGCCAGUAAGAGCCUGGGCUCCAUGAAACUGCAUUUCAACUCCAACCCUGAUGUCCUGCCUGUCUCCUGGGCAUGUUUAUCUUACACUGCUAAGCAUCAGUCUCAUUUGUACAGUGAGAAUAAUAUCACUGUGUAAGGUUGUAUUGAGAAUUAAGAGAGCUCACGUAUGCCUGUAAAGUACCUGGCAUACCGCAGGGUACAAGGAGGGCGUUGUUAGCUGUGAUGGCCCCUUUCCUUCUUCCCUUUACUUCAGAGGUGACCUCUCCAAAUCACAUUUAGUCCUUAAACCUCAGGUCAGGCGAUAGUGCUGAUGGGCAACCCUCCCACCCAGGUUUGGCUGCAAGUCACUCCUCUGGGCUCCUCUGGGCUCCUACAGCCUCCCGCAUGGUCCCUCUCAUGCAUCCUUGUGAUGGUCUGACCAGGAGCUUCUUGAGGACAGGGGUUGGGGCCACUUGCCUGCGUGCUUCUCCAUGCCCAUUUGCUAUCAGAUGCCUUCCCCUUUCUGCUCUGCACUGCGGGGAACUACAUUUUCCAGGCUCCCUGGGCAGUGGCAGGCUUCCGGCUAGUUUCUACCAAGGGGAGCGCUGAUGGGAGAUGAAAAAGUGGGAAAAAAGGAGAAGCCAGGAUGCUUCUCUGUCUCGUCUUCCUUUUUCUCUUUCAGGGGUUUUUGGUAGUGGCUGUGUCUCCCUGAUAGCUCCUCUCUAUGAUCCAGCCCUGCUUGGCAGCCCUGGCUUCUGGGUUCUGAAAACACCACGUUCCUCCUUGUGUCCCUCUAUCUAGUAAUUGGCAGCUUUCUGAUGUUGCUAAGUUCUGACUUGCUUCACCAUCUCCUAUUUGGCUCCUCAGCUUUUCCAUCUUCUGUGUAACCUGUUCCCCGUACUAAAUUUCCUCUGUGUGAAAUGCCUAGCAUGGUUUCUGUUUCCGUGGUGGGACUCAGACGGAUACAUUCUGUGUCCCUAAGCCUCUGACACAGCACCUGACCCAUGAUAGGAUCUCAGGAAGCUCUUUUUUGGCUGAGUACAUUUCCCAUUGUAAUAUUCCCCAAAGGUGGGAUUUUGUUCAUCUUUUUACAGGCUUUCCUCUGGCCCUCCCUUGCUUUCUGUAGCUUUAGCAGGCCAGAAGCAUGAGGAGCAAUUAAAGUGAGCACCAGCCCCAGAAAAGUAGUGAUCAAAUGUUUAAAGUUCUUGAAAAUUCUGUCUAGUUCAUUUCUAUUUCAUUUUCUUAAGCCCCAGAUUCUAAUUGUAUCUGUCUACACAACAAGUGUAAUCAGGGAGCCAAAAUUAAAUUUCCCCAAUCCCUGCCCUUCUAAUCAAUCACAAAUCACGAAUGAAAAGAGCAGAUUCAAGUGGAAGAAUCAGCUCCAGGAGGCCAGUCUUUCCAUUAGCUCUGUUAGGCUCUCCACAGAGGUGGGACCUAUCUCUCCCCACCCACUCCGCCCCAGCAGGGGAAAAUGCAAACAAGUCACUUUUGAUGACCACCUGUCUGCAGUGGUAUUGGUCUCAAAGGAGACCUAAAGUGAAUGCCAAUUUCAGAAAAAUAAAGUUUGGGGAUAUGGUUUGGAUGUUUGUCCCCACCACCCCCACCCCACCAAUUUCAUGUUGAAGUGUGAUUCCCAAUGUUGGAUGUAGGUUCUGGUGGGAGGUGAUUGGAUCAUGGUGAUGGAUUCAUUAUGAAUGGUUUAGUGCCAUCCCCUUGGUGAUAAUGAGUUCUCACUUGGUUAGUUUUUGUGAGAUCUGGUUGUUUAAAAGAGCCCAGAACCUCCACCUGACUGUUUCUUGCUCUCUUUCUUGCCAUGUGACAUCACUGGCUCCCCCUUUGCCUUGUGCAAUGAUUAUAACCUUCCUGAGGCCCUUAUUGGAGGUAGAUGCCAGAGCCAUACUCGUACAGCCUGCACAACUGUGAGUCAAUUAAACCUCUUUUCUUUAUAAAUUACCCAGUCCCAGGUACUUAUAGCAAUGCAAAAACUAUCUAACACUCCUGGUUUCAAAUGAUUGGGAAGAAAUGGGAUUAGAGGUCUCUGAAGAUGCCAGGGCUCUGGAGAUUGCUGGGGGAAGGAUAGCCCUGUCCCUGUCAGGGGCCGCCUCCUGUGUGGAGGGCCUUAGGGCUCUGGAGAGAGAACCCCUGUGUUCAAAUUCUGCCUCUGCUACUUACCAAAUAUGGGACUUUGAGUAUUUCACCUGGUCUGAAUGGGCACCUACAUCCUAGUCCUGGAAACAGCUCAAAUAGGGACAGAGGAGGUGCUUAACAAAGGAUUAAGCCUACAACCUGGAUCUAUUCCUUGCCUUGAAGACCAGUUGAGGGCCCAGGAUGAGCCUCCUGUGGGUGCACUAGCUCUGCUUUAAUUGCCUAGUUCUAAAAUGAAUCUUCCUUUGCAUUGGAGAAAAAAACAACAGAGGCUACAGAAAGCCCCUGGGGUCUGUCUCAGCUGCUAUUGCUCUGACUGUGGUCUGUGAACCCUGGGUAGGCAAGACAUAGCUCCCACCUGUUCCUCUUUUCAUCUCUUGCUGGUGAGGAGCAGGUGUUCUUUCCAAGCUUCUCCUAUCUCUCUCCCCUCUUCUUACUUGUUCCAGUCUUUCUCCCUCCUCUUCCCUCUCCUCUUCUUUCUUCUUCCUUUGCCUUAUCCUCUUCCCUGCUUUCCUCUCUCCCAUUCUUUCCCCCUCCUCUGCUCUUUUCUCCUCUCUCUUUCUCUCCUCUCCCUUCCUCUUCCCUCUGCCUUCCUCUUCACUUCCCUUUCCUCCUACCCUUUCCCCUCCUUUCCCAUCUUCUCUCCUCCUCUACCCCCUCAUCCCUUCCUCUUCACCUCUCCCCUCUGUUUCCCUUCCUCUCCCUGCAACAUUCUCUCCUCUCCUCCUUCCUCCUUUCUCUUCUUCCUCAUUCUCCCCUCCUGUCCCUUCUGUAGCUCCCCUUAUCCCUUGUGGCAUCAGCAUCUCCCAGCCUCAAAACUGGCAGUCACUGUUUCAUCAGCUCUGGCCCCAGCCAAAACCUCCCUCCCUUCUCAGCCAGCAGCAGCUGCUGGACUCUUGAAGGGGGUAACAAUUAGUCAUUGGAGGGUGGCAGUGGUUGAGGGAGACAGAGCGUGCCAGCCUUUGCAGUCAUUGCUCUGUCACCUCAUGUACAACAGGCUUAACUCAACACGUGAUCUUCCCUUUGGCACCCCCCUCUCCCUCUGCCACUGCUGAGCUGUGUUGUGUGUAUUUGUCCUCCCUCGUCCCCACACCCACAACCAUCUUUAUGCCCUCACCUCCUCUGUGAGCUUUAUGCAGCCCUGCCUAGUGUGGCAGCUCCUUAAAGCACCUCUCUUGUUCUUCCCUUCCUUCCUGUGACCACUCCCUAUCCCUAAUAUGGGUCCCUCACUGCUUCUCCCCUGAAAUACUUGAUCCUGGGUUCCUCUCCCCACCUUCAUCUGUCCUGUCAACAAUGACUGGAGUGCAUUCCUGGUUCAUGUCCUCCUAGGGAUGAAAAAGAGUGACAUCUUUCCUCCCCACCACACUCCUAGAACAAAAGAUAGGUUAACAAGAGAAAAGCAUAACACAUUUAUUUAAUCAAGCUUUUAUGUGAUAUGGGAGACUUCAAAAAUGAAGACCCCAAGACCCAGGGGAAACUGUUUUUAUGCUUAGGUUUGAUGAAGAGUGGACAGCCAUGUACUCUUUUUGUAUUGGACAAAAGGGGUAUAAUCCAGUAGUAAUAGACUGAAUGGGAAAACCCAGCAAGGCCUGUCUGUUCAGAUUCUUCUUGGCCUCUCUGUUGUAGCAUUUCUUCCUUCUGGGUAUGAUGCAGGACCCCUCUGCAAUGAGGGCCUUAGGAUCUAAUAUCAGAUAAGGGUAGGUCAGAGAAUUUCUUUUUGGCCACCUCCUAGACAGAAGGGGAUGGGGAGGUCAGAGUAGUAUUUCCAGGGUUCAUGGCUUACUUUGGGGGAGAGGGGUUCCAGUUUUUAUGACCCACCUAGGGUACAAGGAAUUAUGUUUCUAUGACUUGCUUUGAGGGAGAAAUGAGGGGUGAGAGAUAGGAAGCAGGAAGUCAAAGAGACCAUGGUUCUGAGGUUGCUUCUGAGGUCUUCCAAUGUCCUUUAGUUCAAAGUACUCAGCACACCAAAGUGCUAUACUUUGGGGUAUCAUUUUCUGAGCUGCAGAAUCCCAGAUACAUCACUCUCCUCAGAAGCUCUGGCUCUCCUGGUGCACUGACUGAGACCAAACAAGUGUUCAUGACCUACCCAAGCCUGAGAGAACAGCCCUCCAGAUCCUGGUCCUCCUGCCUUCCACCAUGGGCAAGAACCCCCACCCCACCUCUCCCCAACCCUCCUUGCCUUUUUCUGCUUCCCGCCUUUGCUUGUGCUGGUUCCUUCUCCACCUGUUCCCAUCACCCAUACCCUGUUCCCAUCACCCACUGCCAUUAUCCAGGGCCUAAACAUCUCCCCCAUUAUGAAGCUGCUCUAGAGAGGGUGACGUCGCUUCUCUUAUAGGACUCGUUGGACACAGUCAGGGGCCCUAAUACUGCAUCAGCAGAAAGAUGUGUGAGUGGUUCACAUGACCUUUGACCACUGACUUUACUCACCUAUGGAGGUGGACUUGGGCUUUUGCUUGAGAAUGUGGGUGUGCAUAUGUGGGAAAAUAUGUUUAAAAUGAUCAUGCUUUGGAUGAACGAGGCUGGGUUUACCAGUGUAUUUGCUAAGCACUUGCAGAGGACUCGACUGGGGAGCUUGAAAUAAUACAUAUUCCAGGGCCCUGUCCCUGACCUCAGAACCAGAUUAGAGGAGCAGGGGAGGUGGCAGUAAUCUGUGUUUUUAAUAAGUCCUUCUGUUUGAUCUUCACAUUUGGAAAUGACUACAGUAAGUGAUCUCAGUAUUAAAACUCUUAGAAAGCAAAGAGUUUUCAUGAAGGAAAUAAUCACCUCAUUAUAUAUGUAUUACAAUGGAUAAAUAUAUGGGAUUGGGGAGGAGAAUCUGUAUAUAGGGAGAGAAUUGACUGUUGUUUCAGGCACUGUACCACAGGGUCUUAUUCAUUCCUUACUACUUCCCAUGCAGCAGGUUCUAUAAUCCUUACUUUACAGAUGAGAAAGGGGAGGCUCAGAGAGGGGAAGUAACUGCUGCAUAGUCACACAGCUGGAGAGUGACAAGGUCCAUGUUCAAACCAAGGGCUGAUGCCAAAGUCCAAGCUUGAACCACACUGCAAUGCUGCCCAUUUGUGAGCCUGAAUUUUUUUUUUAACUUUCAAGGACAGGUUUUCUUUAACUUUCAAGAACAGGCCCCACUGGUUAAUGGCUAACCCCAAUGUCUCUCAUGAUACUCCCUGGAGGUAGGGUUCUGAGGUUCCAAGAGUGCUUCCCACUGGCCUGCCCUGUCCUCAGUAUAAGCCCUAGAUGGGUCUUAAAAUUUAAUCUUUUCUACUGUAUUCCCGACUAGGCUUGUUGGUGCUGGAGUGAAGCAUUCCUGCCAUGGUUUGGUUCUGAAACAGGCUGAGGGAACAGAAAUAUGAGAGAGGCAACUUGACUUAUCCCAUCCACAGUGAGUGCUGGAAUGAAAAGAAGGCCCUGGCCCAAAAUAGAUGCCCAGGCUUUUCAAUGGGACCUAAAAUUUUACUACUUUGAGUUCAGAUGCAUCUUCUUUGAAAAAGAAUUAUCAGUAGAAUGAAUACAGCCACCAUGAGUCUUUCAUACUAUAGGUAAACUAAUUCAUUCAGUUACUUUUCAUUUGUGGAAAAAAUAUACUGAGACUAUUCCACUUGGAAAAUGAGAGUUUUAAAGUAUAUUGUUGCCAUGUAUAAUUGAAAAAGUGGCAUGCACAUGUUGGGAAUGAGUUCAUUGCUUCCAAAGCACACUGUGGAUGUGGAACUCUUCUGGGUGAAGGGGAUUCCAUGGUUUCAGGCUGGGUGUCUUUGCUGGAGGACUUGUCAGAGCUUUAAAAAUGCUAAUUCUCAUUGUGAAUUUCUAGGAAGGGGAUAUAGUUCUCCAAAUUUAUUUGACCAUAAACCUUUUCAUGGAAUCUUAACCCAGGAUCAAAAAUAAAUACUAACCCCUUACCUGCGCAGAAUACUUCACAGUGAGUCCCCAGUGGGCUUCAGACACAACCUCAUUCAAUAGGGUUUUCUUGAGGGACAGAUGAGAGGUCAUUUGAGCCUGUGGCGAGCAAGGGCAAGCCUGGCGAGAGUGAUAGGAGUGGGGAUGGGCUCUUGGGGAAGCUCUAGGAAGGUGGGGACAAAGGGCCCACUUCACUGGUCCCUCUACUUGGUUCCCUGUCUGCCCCAGGAGAGGAGGCCUGCACUUCCUCAGGAGGCUCCCCUUCCUCCCCAGCGCCUCUCACUGACUUGACCAAAAAGGCCAUGCAUGUGAGAGAACUCCGCCUCCUCCGUUCUCCCGGCUAACAUGAGGCUCCAGCCAGGCACUUUUCUGGCUUUCUUGCUGCAGGAACAUGGCUUGGUUGUUUGGGAGCACAGCUUGCCAGGAGGCCCAUAGCAUGAUGGCUUGAUCAAAGGGCUUGAGCCAAGGCUGGCCCUGGGCCACAUGGCUGGAUUGCAGCCUUUCUAUCCAUCCCCCUAAUCCCAUUUAGGAUGUUCAGGAUCAAUGAAAAGAUCUGAUCAUUCAAAUCAUACCAAAGUGUGCUAACACCAUGUGCUACCCCUCUGGGGAUAAACCUGCUUUACAAAGAGAAUGCUUGCCUAAUGGUGGGACAGAAGGAUGAAGGACAUGCCUUUUACCUGUGGGACCCCAUGAAUUUAGGACCCCGUGAAUGAUCCAUCACAAAUCCGUCUGCAUUAACCACUCUGUCCUUCCAGGUGCACUAUUCCAUCUGCGUAUCCAGCAGCAAAAUACAAUUCUGCUCAGAAUAAUGAACCUAAUGUUCUGAAGGCACCAGAAGGUUGUGGAAGUAUUGACCUAUCUCUAGUUAGCAUCUGCUCACCAGGACCCCUGAGACUGUGGAGGGGGUAACUCAGCAGAAGGACCAGGGCUAACAGGGACUGAAUCCUUACCACAUACCAGGGCCCGUUCCAAACACUUUGCAUGUUUUAAAUUGCUUAAUCCUCACAAUGACCCAGUGGAGGAGAUGAUAGUUUUGUCUCUUCUUCAUAUUAUGAUAGAGGAAAAUGAGGACAGAGAGGCCAAAUGACAGGCCCAUGGUCAACCAGCUAAGAAGUGAAGGGGCAGGACUUGAAUUCAGGCCUCCUGGCCCCAGAGUUUGCAGCACCUGGCAUGUGGCAGUAGUUGAGAAGUUACACUGAGUCUGAGUAGACCUGUAGUUAGUGACCCCCUCCACAGCACAGGGCUGAUGGACAGUGGGCUGGCUUGGGCCAAGAGCAGCUGGCACUGCAGAUCUGUUGGAAUAGCUCUGCCCAGGCUGCCCAGGGCAAGUUGCAGACUGGGAGGCAUAUGUAUCCUAAAAUAGAACUUUUGAGAAAUAAUGUGCAUCCAAAGGAAUGAGUCUCAGACGAGGAUGUUCAAGAAUCAGUAGCAGAUGCUGUGCGGGCCACAGAAUGUUUCUAGGUAAAAUGCCCUCCUCCCCACCCCCCAUGUCCCCCACAACCAACAAACAAGCUAAGAAAAAAGAAACAAAAUAAAAUAAAUUGAAACAAAUUAAUAAACAUGCAAAAACCACACAGACAGUCAUCUCUUCUGUCUGUGGGUAAAACUGACAGCUCUAGAAAUAAACGGAGAUCCAUAUAAAGGGUUUCAAAAUAUGGGAGUAAUUUUUGUUUUUCCAUUUAAUGCUAGGUUUCAAAGGAGGGGAAUAUGUCUAUCACUGCUACAUAGGCAUUCUGUUUAAAACCCACCCAGAUGCCUUAAUGGGGCUCUGUCAAGAGUGGGAAGGUCCCCACAGCUGUUUCUCAAAGCCAGUAGACCACUCAGUGUGGGCAGUGGGGAGCUUGUGCUUGGCAGGCCUCCCACGUCGCCAUCAUUUCUUUUUGAACACUUGACGGCACACCUGGUCACCACAGGUCAGCUCCUGCAACGUCAGAAAGUGGGUGAGGGUCUAACAAGCCAGGCCUUUCUUCUGCCCAGCCCUCAGCCCCCUUGGUAUCUGGGGGUGGGAGGUUGGAAUAAAGAGGACACUUAGGUAUUCUGGGCAAAGUGCAUCUCACAGACCCAAUCAGCGGGCAUGCCCUGCAGGUAGCAGUAAUUUGAUUUUGACACUUGAAUUGAGCUUGAACAACUAUAAAAAUGAAAAAUGCAAAGAAAUGACCCUCUUGGGCAGGAUUUCUCCUACUCCCAUGAUUAAAGUAACAUGACCUAAUUUAUAAAAGGCAGCGAAGCCAUGAGGAAGGAAAGGACCUAGUGUAGAGAAGUGUUUGGAAGGUAGGGGCCUGAAAAGAUGCUGGCCAGUGAGCUGCCCCUCCACCCUGUGGGCUUUCUGGCCUCUGGUGAUUAGAACAUUGGCUGGUGGUGGCGCAGGUACCCGCAGGGUGUGAGGUGCAGAAGGGCUUUCCCAGGCUUGCCUGUGCAGCCGACAAGGUCCCGCUUUUCAUCCAGAUAGAGGGAGCCCAGGCCUUAUUUGACCCUCACUGAUCCUCGAAGGAGGAGGGAAAAACAUGAGUGUGGGAAGGACCACCACAAUCAUUGCAGUUGACUGUGAAUCCAUUGUCUAAGCCACAGAGAGCACUGGGGAUUGUAUUACAAUUAGAAAAAUCCACCAUCCAAACCAGUGCAGGUAGGGAAAGCCAUCAAUGCAAAACACGAUAAAUGCCUCCCAUAUAUCAUUAGCUGACAUUGCCUUCAAAAUAAAG